rnacentral:rRNA from 1 species
CUUUUACAAUGAAGAGUUUGAUCCUGGCUCAGGAUGAACGCUAGCUACAGGCUUAACACAUGCAAGUCGAGGGGCAGCAUUUCAGUUUGCUUGCAAACUGGAGAUGGCGACCGGCGCACGGGUGAGUAACACGUAUCCAACCUGCCGAUAACUCGGGGAUAGCCUUUCGAAAGAAAGAUUAAUACCCGAUGGUAUAAUCAGACCGCAUGGUUUGAUUAUUAAAGAAUUUCGGUUAUCGAUGGGGAUGCGUUCCAUUAGGCAGUUGGUGAGGUAACGGCUCACCAAACCUUCGAUGGAUAGGGGUUCUGAGAGGAAGGUCCCCCACAUUGGAACUGAGACACGGUCCAAACUCCUACGGGAGGCAGCAGUGAGGAAUAUUGGUCAAUGGACGAGAGUCUGAACCAGCCAAGUAGCGUGAAGGAUGACUGCCCUAUGGGUUGUAAACUUCUUUUAUAUGGGAAUAAAGUUUUCCACGUGUGGAAUUUUGUAUGUACCAUAUGAAUAAGGAUCGGCUAACUCCGUGCCAGCAGCCGCGGUAAUACGGAGGAUCCGAGCGUUAUCCGGAUUUAUUGGGUUUAAAGGGAGCGUAGGUGGACAGUUAAGUCAGUUGUGAAAGUUUGCGGCUCAACCGUAAAAUUGCAGUUGAUACUGGCUGUCUUGAGUACAGUAGAGGUGGGCGGAAUUCGUGGUGUAGCGGUGAAAUGCUUAGAUAUCACGAAGAACUCCGAUUGCGAAGGCAGCUCACUGGACUGCAACUGACACUGAUGCUCGAAAGUGUGGGUAUCAAACAGGAUUAGAUACCCUGGUAGUCCACACAGUAAACGAUGAAUACUCGCUGUUUGCGAUAUACAGUAAGCGGCCAAGCGAAAGCAUUAAGUAUUCCACCUGGGGAGUACGCCGGCAACGGUGAAACUCAAAGGAAUUGACGGGGGCCCGCACAAGCGGAGGAACAUGUGGUUUAAUUCGAUGAUACGCGAGGAACCUUACCCGGGCUUAAAUUGCAUUUGAAUAUAUUGGAAACAGUAUAGUCGUAAGACAAAUGUGAAGGUGCUGCAUGGUUGUCGUCAGCUCGUGCCGUGAGGUGUCGGCUUAAGUGCCAUAACGAGCGCAACCCUUAUCUUUAGUUACUAACAGGUCAUGCUGAGGACUCUAGAGAGACUGCCGUCGUAAGAUGUGAGGAAGGUGGGGAUGACGUCAAAUCAGCACGGCCCUUACGUCCGGGGCUACACACGUGUUACAAUGGGGGGUACAGAAGGCAGCUACCUGGUGACAGGAUGCUAAUCCCAAAAGCCUCUCUCAGUUCGGAUCGAAGUCUGCAACCCGACUUCGUGAAGCUGGAUUCGCUAGUAAUCGCGCAUCAGCCAUGGCGCGGUGAAUACGUUCCCGGGCCUUGUACACACCGCCCGUCAAGCCAUGAAAGCCGGGGGUACCUGAAGUACGUAACCGCAAGGAGCGUCCUAGGGUAAAACUGGUAAUUGGGGCUAAGUCGUAACAAGGUAGCCGUACCGGAAGGUGCGGCUGGAACACCUCCUUU